ensembl:lncRNA
AGUGUGUCCCAGGAGGAAACCCAAGGGUCCUACCAUCUGCACCCUCAGCCCAGCCCGGCCACCGGAGGCGUAUCUGGCAACCCAGGCCAUCCCAGAUCCAGAGUCCUCCUCCCUGUAGCGAACCAGACUCUUGGGAAGGGAGACGUGGCCGUCCAACGGGAGUGUAGCCACAGGGACACCGGGGGGUACCGCAAAGUCCCUGCUCAGCCGAGACAGAACGUGCCGGAAACACAAGAGGCGGCGGCGGUCGGGAAACAGUACAAGAAUACUUCAAAAUAUAAGAGUCCUCUUCUGGCGAACAGAAAUCUUGAAGGCACGAGAGUGGACAUUGUCGAGCGCAACAAAAUCACCCUUGGGCGAAACACAUCCAAAUAUGGCUCCUAUCUAAAGGCUCACACUCACAAGCAGGAAACAGACGAUAUGACGAGGUGGGAGGAGGAAGAGGAGGAGGAGGAGGAAGAGGUCAUCUGGCAUGGAGCCGAGUGCACAGUGGAGGAAGGUUUGGACCAGGAUCUAAGGUGGCUCCAGAAAACACAGCAGCUGAAGGCCUGCCAGUCCUCCAGAAGAGACAGGCCCCAGCAGAAGGGGAACCCCAGCCCCCGGAGACCCACCGGAGCUCCCCGCCCUGGGGCCGCAGACAGGCCCGGGCCCCGGCCCCGCCC